rnacentral:lncRNA from 1 species
CGAGCGCAGCUAGCAGAGCAGCGCAACUGGGCUCUAAUCAACGUCCUGUCUUACAGCGCAGCUAAUCAGACGCUCAGAAAGCGCUGCGGCCGGCCUUAUCCUGGCUUAAACCUACAACCCACUAGACCCACUUGCGCGGCUGCAGAAAAGCUAGCGACGCUGUUGUUAUCCAGGAAGCGGAAAUGGCGCUGUCGCGGGGGGAGAACAGGAGAUCUUUGCGAGUUGGGUUGGGCCAAAGAACCAGCGGCCUCGACAGGUAAAGCUAGCGAAGCGACAGCAAC